rnacentral:rRNA from 1 species
CACGUAGGGGGCUAGCGUUGUUCGGAAUUACUGGGCGUAAAGCGCGCGCAGGCGGCUAUCCAAGUCAGUGGUGAAAGCCCGGAGCUCAACUCCGGAACUGCCAUUGAAACUGUUUAGCUUGAGGAUGAGAGAGGUGAGUGGAAUUCCCAGUGUAGAGGUGAAAUUCGUAGAUAUUGGGAAGAACACCGGUGGCGAAGGCGGCUCACUGGCCCGGUACUGACGCUGAGGCACGAAAGCGUGGGGAGCAAACAGG